CCUACGGGCGGCUGCAGUGGGGAAUAUUGGACAAUGGGCGAAAGCCUGAUCCAGCCAUGCCGCGUGUGUGAAGAAGGCCUUCGGGUUGUAAAGCACUUUCAGUGGGGAAGAAAGCCUUGGGGCUAAUACCCUCGAGGAAGGACAUCACCCACAGAAGAAGCACCGGCUAACUCCGUGCCAGCAGCCGCGGUAAUACGGAGGGUGCGAGCUUUAAUCGGAAUUACUGGGCGUAAAGCGCGCGUAGGCGGUCUGAUAAGCCGGUUGUGAAAGCCCCGGGCUCAACCUGGGAACGGCAUCCGGAACUGUCAGGCUAGAGUGCAGGAGAGGAAGGUAGAAUUCCCGGUGUAGCGGUGAAAUGCGUAGAGAUCGGGAGGAAUACCAGUGGCGAAGGCGGCCUUCUGGACUGACACUGACGCUGAGGUGCGAAAGCGUGGGUAGCAAACAGGAUUAGAUACCCCUGUAGUC
rnacentral:rRNA from 1 species